AGAGAAUUCACAAAGUAUGUCAUUUGAGAAAGGGUAGUUUUGACUUUAUUUGGCUGGUAGCGAAUAGUAGUUGAAAAAACAAGCAUACAACAUUUACAUAAUGCAGUUCAAACUGUGCCACACUAAGGGACUACUUAGGGACCACAUUUUCUGAUACAUCCCUGUAUAUUCUAACUAGUCACUUCGUCUUCUCUGCUCCCUCUGUCUUCUCUGCUCUCUCUGUCUGCUCUCUCUGCCUUCUCUGCUAUCUCCGUCUGCUCUCUCUGCCUUCUCUGCUCUCUCUGUCUUCUCUGCUCUCUCCGUCUUCUCUGCUAUCUCCGUCUGCUCUCUCUGCCUUCUCUGCUCUCUCCGCCUUCUCUGCUAUCUCCGUCUGCUCUCUCUGCCUUCUCUGCUAUCUCCGUCUGCUCGCUCUGCCUUCUCUGCUAUCUCCGUCUGCUCUCUCUGCCUUCUCUGCUCUCUCUGUCUUCUCUGCUCUCUCCGUCUUCUCUGCUCUCUCCGUCUGCUCUCUCUGCCUUCUCUGCUAUCUCCGUCUGCUCUCUCUGCCUUCUCUGCUCUCUCUGUCUUCUCUGCUCUCUCCGUCUUCUCUGCUAUCUCCGUCUGCUCUCUCUGCCUUCUCUGCUCUCUCCGCCUUCUCUGCUCUCUCUGUCUGCUCUCUCUGCCUUCUCUGCUAUCUCCGUCUGCUCUCUCUGCCUUCUCUGCUCUCUCUGUCUUCUCUGCUCUCUCCGUCUUCUCUGCUAUCUCCGUCUGCUCUCUCUGCCUUCUCUGCUCUCUCCGCCUUCUCUGCUCUCUCUGUCUUCUCUGCUCUCUCCGUCUUCUCUGCUAUCUCCGUCUGCUCUCUCUGCCUUCUCUGCUCUCUCCGCCUUCUCUGCUCUCUCCGCCUUCUCUGCUCUCUCUGUCUUCUCUGCUCUCUCCGUCUUCUCUGCUAUCUCCGUCUGCUCUCUCUGCCUUCUCUGCUCUCUCCGCCUUCUCUGCUCUCUCUGCCUUCUCUGCUCUCUCCGCCUUCUCUGCUCUCUCUGUCUUCUCUGCUCUCUCCGUCUUCCCUGCUAUCUCAGUCUGCUCUCUCUGCCUUCUCUGCCCUCCCCGUCUUCUCUGCUCUCUCUGCCUUCUCUGCUCUCUCCGUCUUCUCUGCUCUCUCCAUCCUCUCUGCUCUCUCCAUCCUCUCUGCUCUCUCUGCUCUCUCCGUCCUCUCUGCUCUCUCUGCCUUCUCUGCUCUCUCCGUCCUCUCUAUGUGCUCUGCCUUCUCUGCUCUCUCCAUCUUCUCUGCUCUCUCUGCCUUCUCUGCUCUUUCCGUCCUCUCUGCGCUCUCUGCCUUCUCUGUCUUCUCUGCCUUCCUCCCCCCUCUUCUCCAGAAACACCCCACCUAAAGCUGCCUGGCUCUGGCUAGGUAGAACAUGGGACCAAUGUAGCUGCCAAAGCUGGGGAAGCAAAUCAUCAUCUUCAUAACAUUGCACAACUUUGUAUCCAGCUUUGUAGACUCCAUGAGGAAAAAGAGCACGAAGAGCACUAGAACCAGAAGAUACGCC
rnacentral:lncRNA from 8 species